UAUUAAUAUUAACUCUUCAUUAAGUGAAAGUGGUUCAUUAUAAAGGUCUCCAUCCUUGUUGUCUUCACAUUGAGUAGGCUAAGGAGAAAGAAAAAGAAAAGCAGUAGGUGUUGCUGUCUUGAAGGGGCAGAGGCAGAAGAAAAUCCACAUACAAGUGGAUCCAUUCAGUUCAAACCUGUUUGUUCAAGGAUCAAUUAUACACACACUCAGAAACACACAC